GGGGUUGUAGCUCAGCAGUAGAGCACUCGCCUCACAGGUGUGAGACCCUGGGUUCGAUCCUCAGCACCA
rfam:Ictidomys tridecemlineatus contig005352, whole genome shotgun sequence.